rnacentral:rRNA from 1 species
GCCUACGGGAGGCAGCAGUGGGGGAUAUUGCACAAUGGGGGGAACCCUGAUGCAGCGACGCCGCGUGGGCGAUGGAGUGCUUCGGCAUGUAAAGCCCUAUCAGCAGGGAAGAAAAUGACGGUACCUGACUAAGAAGCCCCGGCUAAAUACGUGCCAGCAGCCGCGGUAAUACGGAGGAUGCGAGCGUUAUCCGGAUUUAUUGGGUUUAAAGGGUGCGUAGGCGGAAUAUCAAGUCAGCGGUAAAAAUUCGGGGCUCAACCCCGUCGUGCCGUUGAAACUGAUGUUCUUGAGUGGGCG